GGACUCUGUAAGCUCACACUUUUUUUUAAGUCUUGAAAUAUUUUUCGGAUAUUUGGUGGGGACCGAAUUUAGGUGAUGUGUUUGUUGUGUUGCUGCUGCCCCUGGAAUUUUAUUUCCCAAAACAUGGUUGAUAUUUUUUUUUUAUGUGUAGGGCUGGCUUAAUGCGAGCUUUCAGAGUGGAAGACCGUACCUACCUAUUGAGUCCAAGAUGUUGACCAAAGCAUUAGAUGAAGCCCAAAAGAAAGUAGAGAACUAUUUCCUUGACAUUCGGAAGCAACUAUUUGAGUAUGAUCCAAAGAGAUCGUGUUUAUACAGAGAGAAGACGAGCCCUUGAAUCUGAAAAUCUUCAGUCUCUUCUUAUUGAAUAUGCUGAAUUGACGAUGGAAGACAUUUUAGAGGUAAGGAGAAGGCCCCCGUCAUCAACACAUCGUCAUGUUAGGUUUUUAUUUCUUCUCCCUUUCACUUCUGACGGCCGACGUCUACUCAUGAGGAAGGAGGAGUAGAGAGUGUUGAUGAAAUUAUCAACUUCUUGGUAGGUUUUCGUCACCCUAUAUAGAGUUAGGUUUGAAUUUGAUGGAGAUUAGACAGUGCAGGAAGGAGAAAGCAAGGAGAAGGACAAGAGAUGAUGAUGGAAAGUACGAAAUUUUUGUCACCAUGGGUAGUGUUAGGUCAGAAUCGGAAGGAGAAGAGAAGAUGGUGGAAGAAAAAGGACCAAUUUUUCACUGCGAGGAAGCUAAGAUGACAUGAUGGAUCAUCAUCCUUGCAUAAUAGUUCCCGCUUUUGGAAGGAAGAGGGAAGAUGCUGGAUUGAGAAGGAGUGUUGUCAGGUGAGGAUCGGUAGAAGCAGAGAAGAUGAUGGACUCUUUGGUCAUUGAUAUCUUCCCUGUCAUGGUCGUAUCACUUCAGGGAGGGGAUAUGAUGUUGUGAGGUGCUAUGUACUGGGCUGAAUGGUGGGGUCUGUUGCUCGUGGUAUCAGUUCUAUAGGGGUACAUUUGAGAGGCUUGGAAAUACUGUUGCAAGGCACCGGAUGCAGAUGUGGAAGAUGAUGCAGCCUAAUAGUUUUAGGGUUCAUGUUUUCACUCUGUAGUCAUGCAUGAAGAAGGAGGUACUUUGAUGAUCUAUUGUUUUUUACUUUGUUUCUGAGACCUUUCCCUUAAUUGUGGUACUUUAUGUGAGUUGAUAUUUUCCUUGAAAUUUUUAAAUUUGAACCACCAAUGUUGGCUA